UACACUCCUACGGGAGGCAGCAGUGGGGAAUAUUGGACAAUGGGCGCAAGCCUGAUCCAGCCAUGCCGCGUGAGUGAUGAAGGCCCUAGGGUUGUAAAGCUCUUUCACCGGUGAAGAUAAUGACGGUAACCGGAGAAGAAGCCCCGGCUAACUUCGUGCCAGCAGCCGCGGUAAUACGAAGGGGGCUAGCGUUGUUCGGAUUUACUGGGCGUAAAGCGCACGUAGGCGGACUAUCAAGUCAGGGGUGAAAUCCCGGGGCUCAACCCCGGAACUGCCUUUGAUACUGGUAGUCUUGAGUUCGAGAGAGGUGAGUGGAAUUCCGAGUGUAGAGGUGAAAUUCGUAGAUAUUCGGAGGAACACCAGUGGCGAAGGCGGCUCACUGGCUCGAUACUGACGCUGAGGUGCGAAAGCGUGGGGAGCAAACAGGAUUAGAUACCCCAGUAGUCCC
rnacentral:rRNA from 1 species